rnacentral:rRNA from 1 species
CGAACGCUGGUUUCUGUGGCUAAUACAUGCAAGUCGAGCGAAUCAAUGGGAGCUUGCUCCCUGAUAUUAGCCGCGGACGGGUGAGUAACACGUGGGUAACCUGCCUGUAAGACUGGGAUAACUUCGGGAAACCGGAGCUAAUACCGGAUAAUUUCUUUUCUCGCAUGAGGAGAGAUGGAAAGAUGGUUCUGCUAUCACUUACAGAUGGACCCGCGGCGCAUUAGCUAGUUGGUGAGGUAAUGGCUCACCAAGGCGACUAUGCGUAGCCGACCUGAGAGGGUGAUCGGCCACACUGGGACUGAGACACGGCCCAGACUCCUACGGGAGGCAGCAGUGGG